rnacentral:lncRNA from 1 species
UAAAACUGGAAGGAGAAGAAUCUUCAGGCAGUGAAGAAGACAACUUGCAAACAGCCAAACUUUCUGCAGCCACCUGCAGGCUGAAGAAAAAGCUCUGCAUGCAGUUUGCAACAGAAACUGAGCACGCAGCCAUUCCUGGAACCAACAGUUGUGUUCGGGGGAGAUGAAAACCCUCACUGUGAAUGGGGGGAAUUUCCAACUGCUGUCUGCUGGUGGUUGGUGAAGCACAAUGUCAAGAUGGAAUAUUUUCUAGCACUGCUGGAGAAGCAGCACCUUGGGCUCAGAAGUGCUGGUAAGAGAGUUUUCCAGAGGGGCCUCAGUGCUCAAACACCUCGAGGGAAAGUCUUUGCAUUGUUUGACUGACCCACAUCUGGUUGUAACUAAAAUAAACUUAUUAAAAUAGAGGUCCCCCCUAUUCCUGUUAAACUGGUGUGUCAGCCCCACAGCUGCUUUGCAGAGUGCAGUGAGAA